GGAAGUCUCCCUAGUUCAGGCAGAGGACGGCUACCUCAUCCUGGGCUGGUUCCUAGACGACCAGACAGUGGACCUAAGUCUGGGUGAGCCUUAGGCAGCUGCACCCUUUGUAGCCCAUCUGAACUCCUGCCACCGUUGCAACAGCCACUCGGAUGAAACACUUGGGGACCGAGUGGUCAGGCAGGUCUCGCCUUUGUGAAACAGAGGAGGAAAACGCACGCCUGGAGAAGUUCGUGCCCAUCUUCCGCUGGUGACUUUCCCAACUCCCCGCUCUGCGCGCGAUGGUUCCGUGGACGCCCUGCUGACGGAGAAAUGCUGAGAAAGCCGACCUUUGGACAGACACUGCGCUGUUUCUUACACACUUAUCACCUGUUUGCCUCCGGGACAACCUGCUUGAACUUACUUCCCUGAGAACCCCAGGAAGGGGGCAGUUGGACGGGAAGCGACCGACCAAAGGUGCCAGUGACAUUUCUUCGGUUUCCAGUGUGAAUUACAGAAAACAGCAGCAGUUUCGUGAGUAGCCGCGAUUCUAUUGUCAGAUGACAGGUUAGCUACAGGUGAUCUAAGGUAUUGAAAAGGAAAUGUGUAAGCCCUGUGCAAAAACUGCACCACAUGGCACAAAGGCUCGAGCACCCCGGACUGGGAGGAAUCUGCUGGAAGGAAGGUUCAACUCUGUAACUGCCAUUGUUGCUGCAAAUGCUCCACAUGGAAACCAAAGUAGCCUUCGAAAAGCUUGCAAACUGCUGAAGCUGAGGGCAUGCUGCCUCAGAGUCCUUGGGAGUUACUAGAAGAGACCAAACAGGUUUGCAGCCUUGGCUUCAGGAAGGUGACUGGAGCCAACAUCAGGAGCACUGAUUGUGGGAAGUUUCCUGGGCUAGAAUUUCUGGGGCAGGAGGAGGCAGGAUAACAAUGAAGAAGAGGAAGUGGGGCCGCCUUGGCCUUGCUGGCUUUUUAUUUUUUUCUCUUUUUUUAAUUAAAAAAAAAUAGAAGUCACCAAAGCAACAUAGGUCCAUUGGGAUACACAGGAAUGUUUAAAGUAGAAAAUAAGUCCUUAAAUGUUCCUCCACCACUAAGACAAAAGGAUGGACCAUCCAGAGACUACCCCACCCAGGAAUCCAUCCCAUAAUCAGCCACCAAACCCAGAUACUAUUGUAUAUGCCAGCAAAAGUUUGCUGAAAGGACCCUGAUAUAGCUGUUUCGUGUGAGGCUAUGCCAGUGCCUGGCAAAUACAGAAGUGGAUGCUCACAGUCAUCUAUAGGAUGGAACACAGGGCCCCAAUGGAGGAGCUAGAGAAAGUACCCAAAGAGCUGAAGGGGUCUGCAACCCUAUAGGUGGAACAACAAUAUGAACUAACCAGUACCCCUGGAGCUCUUGUCUCUAACUGCAUAUGUAGCAGAAGAUGGCCUAGUCAGCCAUCAUUGGGAAGAGAGGCCCCUUGGUCAUGCAAACUUUAUAUGCCCCAGUACAGGGGAAUGCCAGGGCCAAGAAGUGGGAGUGGGUGGGUAGGGGAGCAGGGCAGGGGGAGGGUAGAGGGAACUUUUGGGAUAGCAUUUGAAAUGUAAAUAAAGAAAAUAUCUAAUAAAAAAAUGUUCCUCCA
rnacentral:lncRNA from 1 species